rnacentral:rRNA from 1 species
CACGUAGGGUGCGAGCGUUGUCCGGAAUUAUUGGGCGUAAAGAGCUCGUAGGCGGUGUGUCGCGUCGACCGUGAAAACCUGCAGCUUAACUGUGGGCGUGCGGUCGAUACGGGCAUCACUGGAGUUCGGCAGGGGAGACUGGAAUUCCUGGUGUAGCAGUGAAAUGCGUAGAUAUCAGGAGGAAUACCGAUGGCGAAGGCAGGUCUCUGGGCUGACACUGACGCUCAUGCACGAAAGCGUGGGGAGCAAACAGG